AUGACACGAGAGUGACUCAUAGCAGGGAGUGACUUUCCCUGCUAGAAUAGUUACAGUUACUUAACUGCUUCAAAUUUGUAAUGAGGUGUGAGAGAGUUAUAAAUCAGCUUUCUAUUGCUAGACACAGAGAUUAUCUAUUAAGGAUAAUAAACUGAUAUUGUAAUCAAUAUUCAGAUGUUGCAUUUUAUUAUUGUAACCUAGUAGAGCUAUUGGCCUCCAUGUCGUAUCUGUGAUGAGCUACUGUCAUUUCCCUCUUAUAUUGUAACAGUGAAGAGUCUGGGCUUGCAAAGACAUUCUGGAAAGGAUUGACAUUCAAGAAGCUCUAUGGCUUCAGCAGCUGCAGAGUUCAGAGAAACAGGUGGAUCAGGCUGCUCCAUAGGAGGAUGUGCAGUGGUCUACCAGAAAACAUCACACCUACCUUUUCUUACAGCUGCCAGACUCAUCUGCAUUACUGUCACUUUCAACAACACC